UACGAAGGGGGCUAGCGUUGUUCGGAAUACUGGGCGUAAAGCGCGCGUAGGCGGACCUGCAAGUCGGGGGGUGAAAGCCCGAGGCUCAACCUCGGAACUGCCUUCGAUACUGCGGGUCUCGAGUCCGGGAGAGGUGAGUGGAAUUCCUAGUGUAGAGGUGAAAUUCGUAGAUAUCGGAAGGAACAUCAGUGGCGAAAGCGACUUCCUGGACCAAUACUGACGCUCAUGUGCGAAAGCGUGGGGAGCAAACAGG
rnacentral:rRNA from 1 species